rnacentral:lncRNA from 1 species
NNNAGGAAGAGAGAGAGAGAAGGAAGCAGGCUCCCUGCUGAGCAGAGAGCCCGAUGCGGGACUCGAUCCCAGGACCCUGAGAUCACGACCCGAGCCGAAGGCAGCGGCUUAACCCACUGAGCCACCCAGGCGCCCUCCCUAGGGCUUUUUAAAGCGCUGCAGGUGCUUCUAGGGUGUAGCAAGAUUGACAACAACUGGUCUAGUGACCACCUGAGGAACAUGUUUGAAAAACUUUCCCUGACAUUUCCUUUCAAGGCAGCUCAUAUGAUCCUUCGUCAGUGGCCCACCAUCUACUGAAGAAUCUGGCUCCACUUGCUGACGAAGGAGGUGAUGUGGAAGAUGUAAGUGGAGGCUGACAUGCAUACCCAGCACAGAAGCAGGAGUGGACCGGGCCAGCUAGGCUGCCUGGAGAAGUCAAGGUGGUUGGAGCAAAAGUUCGUCUGUGGCCCCUGAAAACACAAACACGAAGAUCGAGCCUUCAAAACUAUUUUUAGCAGAUGAACAUCGGACCAGGCGGGUUCUGGAGUGUUCCUGCAUUCACACAUACCUGCGGCCUGGUAUGUACAUCUGUCUCAGCAAAGGGCUCCCACCUGACACUGGGGUCCACGGGGUCAGGGGGCUGGGAAGGGUUCUGCCUUGCAGUCAGAGCACUCUUAGGUGAUGAGAACAGCUGUGUCCUCUCUGCCUGCUUUACAAAACCUGAGGCCUCAACGGGAUAUUGAGCUCAGGGAUGAUGGUAAAACAUAGCUCUGUGAUGUUGGUGUAGAGGGAGACACUGCCUGGUCCGGACGCCGGAUCACCUUAGUAAGCCAGUGCUCAAACUCGGAAAGUUGCAGCUGGUAGGUCCUAAGGGCCUCCCUAAGUGUAUGUCUAACCAGAUGGGGACAGCAGGGCCUUGUUCUGGGUUUUUAUAAUCUGCGGUCACCAACAUUUUCAAUUCCUUUGAAUUUCACAGGGUAUCAGAAGACGUGUGGCUGGGGCGCCUGUGUGGCUCAGUGGGUUAAAGCCUCUGCUUUCGGCUCAGGUCAUGAUCCCAGGGUCCUGGGAUCGAGCCCCACAUCAGGCUCUCUGCUCAGCGGGGAGCCUGCUUCCUCCUCUCUCUCUGCCUGCCUCUCUGCCUACUUGUGAUCUCUGUCAAAUAAAUAAAUAAAAUAUUUAAAAAAAAAAAAAAGAAGAUGUG